CUUUAUGGCGGCUUUGCGCGGGGCACGUUCGCGUGCACUGGUUUUUGGCCUUUGGGACCAGUCUGCUAACCCGUGUCAAAGCCGCCACCUUU
rnacentral:antisense_RNA from 1 species